rnacentral:rRNA from 1 species
UACGUAGGUGGCAAGCGUUGUCCGGAAUUAUUGGGCGUAAAGCGCGCGCAGGCGGUCCUUUAAGUCUGAUGUGAAAGCCCACGGCUCAACCGUGGAGGGUCAUUGGAAACUGGGGGACUUGAGUGCAGAAGAGGAGAGUGGAAUUCCACGUGUAGCGGUGAAAUGCGUAGAGAUGUGGAGGAACACCAGUGGCGAAGGCGACUCUCUGGUCUGUAAACUGACGCUGAGGCGCGAAAGCGUGGGGAGCAAACAGG